AGAGUUUGAUCCUGGCUCAGAACGAACGCUGGCGGCGUGCUUAACACAUGCAAGUCGAGUGCGCGCCUGUAGCAAUACAGGUGGCGCACGGCGCACGGGUGCGUAACACGUGGGCAAUCUGCCCUUCGAUGGGGAAUAACCCCGGGAAACCGGGGCUAAUUCCGCAUGACAUUCCUUGGACUACGGUUCGAGGACUCAAAGCCGUAAGGCGUCGAAGGAGGAGCCCGCGCCCGAUUAGCUAGUUGGCGAGGUAACGGCUCACCAAGGCAAUGAUCGGUAGCUGGUCUGAGAGGAUGGCCAGCCACACUGGAACUGAGACACGGUCCAGACUCCUACGGGAGGCAGCAGUGGGGAAUCUUGCACAAUGGGCGAAAGCCUGAUGCAGCGACGCCGCGUGGGGGAUGAAGCAUUUCGGUGUGUAAACCCCUUUCGACCGGGAAGAAUGCCUCGCAAGAGGAGUGACGGUACCGGUAUAAGAAGCCCCGGCUAACUACGUGCCAGCAGCCGCGGUAAGACGUAGGGGGCCAGCGUUGUUCGGAAUUACUGGGUGUAAAGGGUUCGUAGGCGGUGUGGCAAGUCGGGAGUGAAAUCUAUGGGCUUAACCCAUAGGCUGCUUCCGAAACUGCUGUGCUUGAGUGUGGGAGAGGCGCGUGGAAUUGCAGGUGUAGCGGUGAAAUGCGUAGAUAUCUGCAGGAACACCCGUGGCGAAAGCGGCGCGCUGGACCACAACUGACGCUGAGGAACGAAAGCUAGGGGAGCAAACAGGAUUAGAUACCCUGGUAGUCCUAGCCCUAAACGAU
rnacentral:rRNA from 1 species